CCGCCUGUUGCGGGGCGAUGAAGUGAAUAUGGGUAUCGAUUCCGCCCGCGGUGAGAAUCUUGCCUUCCCCCGCAAUGACGUCGGUCGCGCCACCGACGACGAUCGUCACACCGGGCUGGAUAUCCGGAUUGCCCGACUUGCCGAUCCCCGAGAUCCGUCCGUUCUUGAUGCCGACAUCGGCUUUGAUGAUGCCCCAAUGGUCGAUGAUGAUGACAUUGGUGAUGACGACGUCGGCGACCUCGGCAUGGGGGCGCUGACCCUGCCCCAUGCCGUCGCGG
rnacentral:sRNA from 1 species